UUUACAUUUGUUGUCAUCAUUCGGGGACUUAUUUUCUUAUUGACUUCCCCAUGGGGAUUCUCCUCUUGCAGUUGAUUGGAUGGAAAAACUUUUCCAAUUUGUGUAUUGCUAUCUAUCACAUUUAUGCAGAGAGUCAUUGGGUCAAUCGGCUCAGGAUGAUCCUCUCGUGUAGAUGUAGAAGCAAUUUCGGAUUUAGGACUGCUAUUGCUUCUUGAGUCAGCUACACCAGGCUGCAUUGCAGCACUCUCUCUGAUAAUCUCCUGCUUCUGGUUCCCUUCUCUUUGCUUGUGGGAUGCUAAUUCACUUCCAACUUUUACAGCAUUAUUACCUUUGUUCUGUACUCUUUGCUGAUUUGGUGUGGAAUUCCGGUUUUCCUGGGUGUUCUCUGCUGCUUCUCUCGAGAGGCUUCUUGAGUCAGAUACACCAUUUUG
rnacentral:misc_RNA from 1 species